CAAUAAGCGGAGGAAAAGAAACCAACAGGGAUUGCCUCAGUAGCGGCGAGUGAAGCGGCAAAAGCUCAAAUUUGAAAUCUGGCGUCUUUGGCGUCCGAGUUGUAAUUUGAAGAAGGUAUCUUUGGGCCCGGCUCUUGUCUAUGUUCCUUGGAACAGGACGUCACAGAGGGUGAGAAUCCCGUGCGAUGAGAUGACCCGGGUCUGUGUAAAGUUCCUUCGACGAGUCGAGUUGUUUGGGAAUGCAGCUCUAAGUGGGUGGUAAAUUCCAUCUAAAGCUAAAUAUUGGCGAGAGACCGAUAGCGAACAAGUACAGUGAUGGAAAGAUGAAAAGAACUUUGAAAAGAGAGUGAAAAAGUACGUGAAAUUGUUGAAAGGGAAGGGCUUGAGAUCAGACUUGGUAUUUUGCAUGUUGCUCUCUCGGGGGCGGCCGCUGCGGUUUACCGGGCCAGCAUCGGUUUGGAGCGGCAGGAUAAUGGCGGAGGAAUGUGGCACGGCUUCUGCUGUGUGUUAUAGCCUCUGACGAUACUGCCAGCCUAGACCGAGGACUGCGGUUUUUACCUAGGAUGUUGGCAUAAUGAUCUUAAGUCGCCCGUCUUG
rnacentral:rRNA from 1 species